UACGAAGGGGGCUAGCGUUGUUCGGAAUUACUGGGCGUAAAGCGCGCGCAGGCGGCUAUCCAAGUCAGUGGUGAAAGCCCGGAGCUCAACUCCGGAACUGCCAUUGAAACUGUUUAGCUUGAGGAUGAGAGAGGUGAGUGGAAUUCCCAGUGUAGAGGUGAAAUUCGUAGAUAUUGGGAAGAGCACCGGUGGCGAAGGCGGCUCACUGGCUCAUUACUGACGCUCAGGCGCGAUAGCGUGGGGAUCAAACAGG
rnacentral:rRNA from 1 species